AAGACCUUGAAGUUGGUGGAGUGGCUCAGUAACUUCCUCUCUUCUCGUGCCGUCUUGACGGACUGGUGGAGAGGAGUGAAGCUAAGAAACGGCUCAAAAAUCCAAAGGAUUAAGUGUUGUACGUUGAUGCAAUGACAAUUUGUUGUCCUCCCGGCGUACGACACUCCCGAGGAUCGAGGAGGGUGGUUUAGUGGGUGAGAGUCCCACACAAACUCACAGCAAGUUUCAAUCACAAUGGAUCGUUUAUCUGAACAAUAUUUUAAUAAUAUUAGGACAUGGUGUUAGGCGUAGAAGUCAACAAGAAACGUGUAAUAUCCUAAUAAUAAUUUAUAUCCUAACCGAAAUUCCAUAGAUGUCAGUAAAUUAAUUAAAAAGUUUAACGAAACUGGUUCGGUAACAGAUUUUUCCAAAUGAGGACAAAGAAAAGCUGCAUCAAAUUAUUGGAUGUUCGUGUCCUGUUGCCAGCCCUAAAUUUGAAAAACCAGGAUUUGAAGUUUAAAAAACCAGGACUAUUCAGUUCAAAAGCAGGACGCAUUAAUAGAGUUGCAAUAGUUAAAUAAAAAUCUAAUGAAAACAGGUGAAAUAAAAUUCAAGCAAUUAAGAUAAUAACAGUUUUUAAUAAAAAUAUUUGACAGCUAUUUGAGCUAACAUAUAGUUUCGACUAAAUAAUAAUCUGACUGGUUAGCUAGCUCUGUAUGUCUAAUGCAAGAUUUGAGAAGAUGCGCGCGAAUUUUGAAAUUUGAAAACCCAAGAUGCUGCUCAAAAACUAUAUAGUGUAGUGUCCUGGGAAAACGGGACGGUUGGCAACCCUAUGUUAAGAAGACGAUCCAAUUUUUUUAAAUACUGGUCACGUAACAAUCCUCGUUAGAAGCGCGAAUCCCAAUAUGGGCUGGAAUAAUAGCCGACGAAAUAAUUGGUCUUUUUUUAUUGAGGGUAUCUCAAAUGGUCCUGCGUAUUCAGAUUUACUGAUCCAAGAGAGACUGCAACAAUUAUGGAAGAGUAUCACUGAAAAUGGAGUGAUUGUUACAGGUUAUACAGUGUGGAGUUUUUUAAAUAAUUUCGAAUGGAAUAAAGGAUAUACUGUAAAAUAUGGUUUAAACGCUGUUAAUUUCGAUGAUCCCCCCGAAACUUUCUUCUGUGACGUAUAGGAAUGUUUUGAAACAUAAAAACAUACAAGGGGCUCACACAAUUAGAUUAAUAAUAAUGAUAUAAAAUAUUUUUAAUCAUUUUCGAUAUCGGGAACCUCCGUAUAUUAAAAGGAUAGUACUGAAAGAGGUUUUCCGGGGGACAAAUUGAUAGGCAAUUGAUGGAUAGGUCAGAUCCAGCAACUGCAGAGUUUAUAAGAAAGUUUAUUAUAGAAAAUUGCUUCAUAGUAGUGUAUUGCAUCGUAAAAAAUGUAGAAAACUAAAUGAACUUUGUAAGUACUAUAGUUUAUUAUAAUUUUUGGUCAACUUAACAAAUCACCUUGUAAACUAAUAAAGAAGCGGAUUUGAAGGACUCUGUGUAUGGUAGAAGUAUGACUCACCCUGUAUAAAACUGUGGUGAAUAAAAUAUAGUCUAGUAAAAUUAAGAAUACGCUUAAUUAACAGACAUCUGUGUAGAAUUGGUACUACACAAUCAAAGCAAGGUAUGAUUUAUGUUCUUUAAGUACCGAGGACUCCGCUAGACAUUCUUUUGUUAGAUUGUUAUAGCAAUUCUUCGAUUUUUUGUAGAUUUUGUUUUAUUAAAUCUUAAAAAACGCACGAUAAAACAGGAAGCUUGUUUAUUGUCAACAUAUUUGAUCAAGCAUUGAAUAUCACGUUUAAUCUGUUGAAAUCGUGUUUCAUUUCAGUUAAUAAAAUUGUUUUCAAUUUUU